GUUCACCAUUUUGUGUGUCCAAGGACCACCUACUUUUUACAUAUGACAAGAACUACCCACCUCCACUCUUCAGGACAGAACAUGCUGGAGAAAAGAGUUACAAUGAGAAAAUAUAUGGGAACAAAAUACCUAUGCAAUGCAGAAGUCUGCAUAACUAAACCACUCAGAGGAAAAAAGUGCUCUUCCUCACUCUCUGGCUUUCUCACUUUCUGGGAAGACAUUUGUCAUACUGUGAGAUACCCUAUGAAAAGUCUCAAAUUGCAAGAAGUGAGAGGCUCCAGACAAUAGCCAGAUUGCCAUUUCAGGACACCUCCUACAUCUGAAGAAAUAUGUAUUGAUCUUGAAAUAUUUUUCUCCUCCAAAUAAAAGUCAGUAUGAUAACAAC
rnacentral:lncRNA from 1 species